GAUGAACGCUAGCGGCAGGCCUAAUACAUGCAAGUCGAACGGUAACAGGUGUAGCAAUACAUGCUGACGAGUGGCGCACGGGUGCGUAACGCGUAUGCAACUUACCCUUAACAGGAGGAUAGCUCGAAGAAAUUCGAAUUAAUACUCCAUAACAUUUUCCUACGGCAUCGUAGGAUUCUUAAAGCUCCGGCGGUUAAGGAUGGGCAUGCGUGACAUUAGCUAGUUGGUGAGGUAAAAGCUCACCAAGGCGACGAUGUCUAGGGGAUCUGAGAGGAUUUUCCCCCACACUGGUACUGAGACACGGACCAGACUCCUACGGGAGGCAGCAGUAAGGAAUAUUGGACAAUGGUGGCAACACUGAUCCAGCCAUGCCGCGUGAAGGAUGAAGGCCCUAUGGGUUGUAAACUUCUUUUAUAUGAUAAAAACCUUCCGACGUGUCGGAAGCUGAUUGUCGUAAGAAUAAGGGUCGGCUAACUCCGUGCCAGCAGCCGCGG
rnacentral:rRNA from 1 species